rnacentral:tRNA from 1 species
UCUAAUAUGGCAGAUUAGUGCAAUGGAUUUAAACUCCUCAUAUAAAGAUAUUCUUCUUUUUUUAGAA